UCCUUUUGCAGAAAUGCACGCGCUGAGUGUGGAUCCCGACCUUGACUCCUGUCCUCCACGUCAUCAGCCAGCCAGAAGUCCAGCACAAAUCGGUGGACAAGCUCAAAGACAGCCAUUGGUGUCAUCAUCAUCAGACCCAGUAGUGUCAUCCCACGCAGGACAGCCAGCGUCAUCCACCGUCUCACCACCUUAUUCAACAUCUACAGCGGCCUGCAACAACCAGGUAACCUUGGAGACACUCCCAGCCCCUGGGAAACUCAUCUGUGCAACCACAUCACGAACAGCCUGGAGAAAGAUAUUACUGCUGAGGUUCAACGCACCUACGUUAGGUGUGGGGACCUCUGCCGUCUGGCAGAGCUGCGCACAUACUGCAGCAAAGAAAGGACAUUAAAGGCGAAAAAGUACAAAAGGAGCUACACAUGGCUUUCCUAAACAUGGUGCAAGCAAUUGCAGGAGCACAGAGGAGAGAGAGGGAUUUCAAUCGGGGCAGUGGUGGAGUUGAAGAAGACGGCCGCCUGAGACAGGAACCAGUGAUGUGCUAUCGCUGUGGCAAGUUUGGACACUACGCCCAUAACUGUCGCUUCAAACCAUCUAAACAAAACAACAAGCAGUGUUUUCGAUGUGGGAAAACGGGACACUGGCAGAGCGAAUGUCCUCAACCAAAGGGUUCCAGACGGGCUAAGCAGGCUGAUUGACUGGAGCGGGAGGAGAGUGACGGUGAAGCACCAACGGCGAGCACUGAGGAGGGAGGUAACACGCACAGACAUGCAUGCACACAGCAUUUAUGUGAUGAACACCCAGUUUUUAAGAAAUGACUUUUGUGAUUGCCGGAAAGACAGUUGUACUCCUGGUUGAUUCUAGAGCAAUGGCUUCGGUUCUGAGGUCAUCAGAACACACAGACACACACGCGCACACGCACACAUGCACACACACCACUUAGUGAACGUUCAAUCUGUCAAAUAGGAGUAACAUGGCCUUCAAAUAGUAAAGAAACUAACUGUCCCUUUGCCAUGUACGUCCCCUGAAGGCAAAAAGUUUAAAGGGCUCAUAUCAUGCAAAAUCCACUUUUUAGACAUUUUGGAGCGUUCCUACAACUCUAUGGGUCACAUAUACACACACUGAGCACGGUAGAAAUGCAUUUCCUGCUUUUUUCACAUUUUGAAAACGUAAAUUUUCUCAUCCAAUGGAGAGAGACAUCUACUACUCUGAGACCGUGUCCCAUGUGUCGUCACACUGGUAGGAACAUCUCCUUGCAAAUCCUGAACCACCACCCCCACAAUGAUCCCGAACCAAAACUGGACUUUUGCCAUUUCCCCCCUCUCACUCACCGUGAACAGACCAGCACGGCAGCGCCCAAGUCCUCCCAUAGAAAUAGUUCGGUUCUUAGGUGUUCUAACCAACACCAAAGUCUAUUCACUUUAACAAGGGAUCAACAAGUGAGGAUUUGUGGGUCACUUUUAUUUUUAACGGACCGGUGCCAGAAACACUGCCUCAGCAUUUAUACGUAUGUGCAUUUCAAACGAGGGUGCGUACAAUGCUGGAUUUGUUUCACGGCUCCUGUUGGAAAAAAAGGACCUAUUCCUAAAGUCCGUCAUCCACUCACUAAAGAGGGCAAAUCCCAGUUGCCCACAUGCAAGGAGGCUGUCAAACAGAGAAAUCACUGCAGACUGUUGGUACACGGACAUCUGCUGCCCAGCUCAGGAGUAAAGUACCUUUUUGUUUUGAUGAGGUGAUGGUGAGGACAGCCACAGCUUCCAUCUGGUAGAGGACUGCUUCCGCUCAGUCUUCCAAAUAGUGAUGAGAACAAGGAUCACCACAUCUCCCUGUUUACCCUACUUUCAUGCAUUUCGUCUGCAAGGCCCUGCAAAAGCUUCUGUCCUCAAACCCCCAGACUUCUUAAUUAACUCAGUAACCUAUACAUUGCACAUUGGAGUGUGAAGGUAACAGUUUGUUCUAGCUUUGGAGUAGUGGUGCAUUUUUUUGGUUUACAAUAAAGUUGGCUUUAACUAUUA